ensembl:lncRNA
GAUGUCCCAAGCAGGCUCAUAAAAUGACAGAGUACGUUUUGAAUUGUUUGUAUCAAUGUGCAUGAGAUGUUACAUCUUGGAAAACAUUCAGUGCCUUGAGUCUAUGGACAGGACCUGCGGAGAGACCUACUACAGACCUACUACAGGCUCACUUGAGCUUGGAGUGAUCUGUGUGUGGUCAGCUGUAUCCUCAGUUAUGUGAGACCUACUUGCUCUGGGUGUACACAGAGAGACAGCAGUCAGACCCAGGGUGUCUGUCAAGGUGGACGGCAUCACAAGUAACCGACAGCGGUCACCCCAGGGAUGAAUAUGGAUAUCCGUGGAUGUACAGCUAUAGGCUUCUGCACCCUAAGCACUGCAGUUAGCCAAGAACAUCAUGCUUUACAGAUCUGAGCACCUUGGGCAGAAAUUCUCCUUUAUGUGCCAGAAGUCAUGAAACCAAAGGCAGAAAUCAGCAAGAGGAGACCAGGCACCUCAGGCUGUUUGCCGCGUUAAUCUUCAGAACCCAUUAAGACCCAGGAGUAUGUUUACAAGACUUUCAAGUUUCCCAGCCCUGUGAGAAGGAUUGGGAAACACAUGGGCCCAGCACGUUCAGCCCUAACCACACACCCCGAGGUGCUGAGUUGUCUUACCCUAGAAGCCUGAGAGGCAUUCUGCCAUUAAAAAAAUGUUCAGAAAGAGGAAAAAUAUGGGAAAAAGGAAAAAGUGAGGAAGAGAAGAUGGGAAUGAGAAAGGAAGGAAGAAAGGAAGGAAUCACAGAAUCACAGAAUGGCCUGGGUUGAAAGGGACCUCAAGGAUCAUGAAUCUCCAAACCCCCUGCCGGGCAGGGCCACCAACCUCCCUAUUUACUAGAUCAGGUUGCCCAGGGCCUCAUCCAACCCGGCCUUGAACACCUCCAGGGACGGGGCAUCCACAACCUCUCUGGGCAGCCCAUUCCAGCACCUCACCACUCUCCUGGUAAAGAACUUCCCCCUAACAUCCAACCUAAAUCUUCCCUCUUUCAACUUAAAACCGUUCCCCCUUGUCCUGCUGUUGAAGGAAAGGAGGAAGGAACAGAAGAACACAUAUGGACAAAACUCAUGUCUCAUAUGCUGAAAACUAUUUGGCUCAUACUGUCAUUUUCAAACAAGAACUCUUAAAUUUUAUUGUACAUAACGAUGUCUUCCUGCAAAGCUCCAAAAGUAAUUGCUAGGCAUCACAGGUAUCAUUUACAAAGCAUGUGCAAUGAUCUGCAACAUCUACUUAGUCUGCAGCAUUCAAAAGUCAAACUCCUUGUUAAGUUGGAUGCUGAAUUGAAGGUCCCAUGAUUGCAGUUUAAUCUCUCUUCGUUGAUAGUCUACUUUGCUUCCCAUAAGUGAACUGGUCUCCAACUUCUACAUUGAAAGGCUAACAGAAACUUGUUCAAAUUUUGUUUGUUUCUCUGAAAGAUAAGUACUGUUUCUAGUAGGAUUUGUGCACCUGAGCACUGGAUACAAUCCAGGUUUGGAAAUCUAUGUUUAAUGGGGUCUUUUUAGAUUUAGAUUUUUUUCAUUUGGAAUCAGAACUAUAGAAGAUGUUCUGCAAAACAUUUCAAAAUCAUUGUUUGUACUCUGAAAAAUAUGCAAUUUUACUUCCUUUAUUUCAGUAUUCUUUGGUUAUAUUUACUCAGUUCAUGAAGUCAUAGCAUGGCAUAUCAUAAUUUCUGUUAAUUUAAAGAUAAAUGAGAUCUGUACUCACACUGAUUUUAUUUGCACAUCUUUUCUAGAUUAGAAUCUCCUGUUUAUCCUAUAGUGAAGUGGCUUACAAAAAAUCCAGUAUCAUUUAGAGAUGAAGGCAAAUAGUAUACAAAUUAGGACCAUAUUUUCAGUAUCAUUUUG